GCAGAGGGCGCUGUUCCUCAGUAAAAGUUCCCCAGUGUUGCUUUAAUAUCGGUGCCGACAGCGGAGUUCAGUAGUGAAAACCUUAAAUCGGACCAACACCACUUCAGACGGUCUCACUUCGACCUUUUUGCUGUCAUUCUACUUUCAUCUCAACUUUGACCAUGGUCACGUGAGUGAAACCCAGGAAGUGAUGUUUGAAUCUGCUGAUCAGCUGAUCCAAGACCCGAUUCACUUGCAUCAGACUCAUCCCUGUCAGGUGGAUUAGGGAAUUAAAGUGUCCUUCCGCCAAUAGUAUAGGACCAUUUCCAAUAAAGGUUAUUUAACUUCAGUUAGCGGAUUUAUAUUUAAUUUAUUAGGUUAUGGGGGUCAACUAGAGCUGACCUCCACGACUGUUCUGAAAUGAACCAUUUAAUAUAAUUUCAGAGUUAAACGUGAUAGUUAACUUUUUAAACUACUUACAGCGUGAGUUGUUGUCUCUCUCGUCCCAGCUGUCGACGCUUCCCCGCCGGGUAGAGCUGCUCUCGGUGCCCGGGGAUGUCAGCUGGGACCAGUACUUUCCUAUCAUGUCCGUCACGCUGUGCUCCGGCUUCGUCAGGACGGACGCUCCGUGUCCAAAGAGCAGGGCCGCGACAAACACCAUCCUGGUUCUGGUUCGAGUUGACUGAGCUCCGGUUUCUCCUCCGAACGUACGCGGUAUGUUUUCUCCAUGUAUGAAGUCGAUGUGGAUGAGCCGAGGCGGAGGGAGCGGUGCUUUUAAACCGGAGGAGCCGCAGGUUGCAUCAACUGAGAGUGUGGGCGGAGUUGGCCGCGUCCAUCCAGAAGGUUCCAGCAACACGCAACAUGUCCGGGCAUUACACAGGAAGACCAAGUGUUUGUGUUUGGUGCACAGCUAGUCCAGCUCCCCCAGGAUGCCACAUCCAUACCUGCGGUCCCAAGAAGCUUUGCUGUGUCUCCAGGAAAAGUCUCAAGAGCACAGAGGAGACACCCAGAGGCCAGCCGCUAUACAAGGAGAGCUGGAAAAGGCCGUAGAACCCAGUAGCAGGACCGGUUUCUGCUAAUUUACAAGUACCAUCACAGAUUGUCAAGGAGUUCACUGAUGAUCCAGGUUUGGGAGGAGAUCCCCCAGGACACCAGCCGCCGACUCAUCAGGAGCAUGUCCAGACAUUGUCUGAAGUGCAUUAUAGGCCCACAGAGGCCAUAAACACUACUGAGUCACAUUAUGAGUUGCCCUAAUGAAAUUCACACAAGUUGGAUCAGCCUGUGAUUAAAAUCAUUUACUUAGAUUUCCGGCGUGGUUUUGAAUCCAGCCCUCAAUGGGUUGAUGAUUUUGGUUUCCAUUGACUGUUGUUUUGUCAAUUUGUUCUCAACAAAUAAUACAAAUUACAUCAGUAAAGAUCAUCAACUUGAAUAAUUUGUUCGUCUAGAUCUGAUGUGUGAUUUAAGUGUAAUAUAUCCUACUUGCAUGACAUGAACAGACGGACUGAAUUGGUUCACCUCUGACUCACCUUCCUGGGGAUGUCCCUGCUUCUGUUACAUCACAGCUGCCAACCAAUCACGUUAUGAUCUGAUGCUGUCAUCACAAAGACCUGACACCGAAGGAGGAAGUGUCUCUCUCCAGACCUGCAGGGGAACUACAGGAUUUUCUUACGGCAUAUCCUCACGACAUUACCAAAAGGAAAUUUGUCUGUGUGUGUGCUCAUUUUUAUUCCCUCUUUAGAGUAAACGCUAACUGUGUGUCUUUUUCUGUGUUCCAAAUGAACACCUAAUCUGAUGCAUCAAAAUUAUCUUGAACAAAUAUUUCUGUGUGAUGAAGGUCACAGAUUUAAUGUUUCAUGAAGUCAUGGAUGACUUGAGUCAUUCAUGAGCCAGUAUGACGACCAACAAGUGUGUCAGUAAUCACUGAAUCAGAUAUCAUUGCAACAUGAGUGCAGGUCACUGAUAUCCAGUCUCCUGAAAUCUCCUGUGAAUAAACAGUCAGUCUCAUACUGUG